rnacentral:tRNA from 1 species
GGGGCUGUAGCUCAGUUGGUAGAGCGCUUCGUUCGCAUCGAAGAGGUCGUGGUUUCAAUUACCAUCAGCUCCA